rnacentral:tRNA from 1 species
AUUUAAAUAGCUUAUAUUAAGAGCGUAACAUUGAAGCUGUUAAGGAGAUAAUUUUAUCUUUAAAUA